AUGAAGAGCUUCUCACCAAUCGGUACACUCCUAACCAUGUCUUCCAAGCCUUCCCAGAACUCCCUCUUGGUGUUCUCAUUGUGGCCUACUUGCGGGGCAUACGCGCUGAUAACAUUGAGAACCAAGUCCUCAACUACCAGCUUGACCAGGAUAAUCCGGUCCCCACGUCUCUUGACGUCUACCACUCCAUACUUGAGGCUCUUGUUGAUCAAGAUGCCUACGCCAUUUCUGUUUGCAGCCGUCCCCGUGUACCACAGCUUGAAGCCGGUAUCCUCCACCUCCUUCGCAUUCUGUCCUCUCCAUUUGGUUUCUUGGACGCAAAGGAUAUCAACACCUCUCCUCACCGCUGCAUCAACUAGCUCCCGAAGCUUCCGUGUCAGAGACCCUACGUUUCAGCUACCUAAGCGAAUCCUCCUAGGCUCGGCUAGCUUCCUUACACUUCGCACUCGUCGAGUCAAAUGCGAAGACCCUUACUCAUUUUCCACUACAUCCGGGCGCCGAUGUAGCGCGCCACUAAGGAUGCGACGACCCGAUCCUCGCUCACUUGCCACCGUAUCCGGAUCAAGAUACGACGCGCCACUUGGGGGUGACGGCCCGGCCCUUGCCUAUUUUCCACCACACCGGGUUCCGAUGUGGCGCGUCGCUGAGAGGGUUACGCCCCAUUACUCUGGAUUCCCAAACAAUAAAAAUCCACUAACAGCUGUAUCCCGCUCCUCUCUUGAUCCUUCCAUCUUCAUCUCUCCACGUCCUUAUCUACUCUCGCUGGCACCCCACCCGCACCAAUCAGUGGUAGCAGCGGUCGACAACAGCCACAGGGCAGCCGCUCGCUCGCCUGGUAGCCAAUGGAUAGGUCUUCGCGCUUGGCUCGACAACCCCCGGAUUGAUAAGUUUCAAUGGUGCUCCCACUGCCUACCCACAUGA
rnacentral:rRNA from 1 species